CGGCAUUAAACCCACCCUCGCUCGCAUUGUUGCUGCCUUCUACUGGCUGGGGUGGACUAGAGAUGUCAAGAACUACAUUCAACAAUGCACCACAUGUCAGCGUAACAAGUAUUUGCCAACAAAGCCCCAUGGAUUACUCCAACCCCCUUCAUUACCAAAUCAAGUGUGGGAAGAUUUAUCAAUGGAUUUUAUAACACACUUACCCGCCUCAGUAGGUCACUCAGUGAUAUGGGUCAUAUGUGAUCGCCUCACGAAGUAUGCUCACUUUCUGGCACUUCCCAAACAGUUCAAUGCCCAGCAACUUGCCAAGCGAUUCUCGGUGGAGAUUUUUCGUCUUCAUGGGUUGCCAAAAACCAUUGUCUCAAACCGAGAUCCCCUAUUUGUAUGCACUUUCUGGGAACACCUAUUCAAGGCACAAGGCAUAACAUUAAAGUUCAGUUUUGCUUACCAUCCGCAAACAGAUGGGCAAACAAAAGUUCUUAAUCGAAGUUUGGAAGAUUACCUACGAUGCUUUGCUGGCGAACACCCUCACACUUGGUUCCAAUAUUUGCAUCUAGCAUAACUUUGGCAUAAUACGACUUACCAUUCUGCCAUUGGAACCUCACCGUUCCAUGCUUUGUACGAAAGACAACCUCCCACUGCCCUAGAUCUGUUGCACAGUCCACGCUUAGACACCACCGUUGCUGAUUUAUUGCACCAACAUGCGUUGGUUCUCCACGCCCUCAAACAAAAUCUUCGUCGGGCCCGUCAACGAAUGUGCGACCAAGCUAACCGCCACCGAUUCGAACGCUCUUUUAACCCCGAUGAUUGGGUAUGGAUACGUCUUCAACCUCACCGCCAGCAAUCGGUGGAGCAUCGUACAUGUUCGAAGCUCGACCCUCGUUACUCGAGGCCUUAUCAAGUACUCCACCGCAUUGGCGCUAUGGCCUAUGAACUCCGUUUACCAACCACCUCGCGAGUACACCCGGUAUUUCAUGUAUCCCUCCUCCGUGCUUUCAAAGGAACCCAUGUAGCCACUGAUAUUCAUUCACUCUCUCACGUGGAUAGGGACUCGCCAAAAUCUUUGAAUACGCCCACGCCUAACCCCAAAAGCCUUUCAAAUGACCAACCACUUCACUCACCUUUGAAACCCCUUCAGAAGAGCAAUUAAUGCCCUCACCUAACUCUGCACCACGUCACUCAAAACUUUC
rnacentral:lncRNA from 1 species